rnacentral:lncRNA from 1 species
GCUGAGGAUCCAGGUGUAAAAGUUCCUAUCUAGUGGGGCAUGCAGGCGAGGCCAUGUGAUUAGUCCUGAGAGAAAGCAUUGUGAGUCAUUUCCAAGCUGCAGUACCUACAAGCCCAUGGGAAGUUCUUCGGUUUCUCUUUCCUCUGCCAUCACAACUAAGGAACCUCAGAUGAAACCUCUUGGGCCCCUGAGUCACUGCAUGGAAGACAAUUGCCUUGUAGAAUCACAAUGGAUUUUGUGUAAAAGAGAAAUAAAUAAAGCAUUGUUUUGUUAAGCCACU